rnacentral:misc_RNA from 1 species
UCGAGACCCGAACGAACGGACGAUCGCGAACGUGUUAUUUAUUCACUUACCUACCACUCCGGCUCGUCGCUCCUCGCGGAGCGGCGAGACGGGGGAAACGAAACCCCGGCGCAGUGGGCGCCAAGGAACACUUUUUGGAAGCGCCGUCGCGGCCUCCUCCCUUUACUCCCCUCGUCGUGCGUACAAAUACAUACAUGUACGCACACGACGGCAGGAAGGAGGGCGGAACGCGGGCGUGGAUAUAGAUAUCGUAUUCUGUACGACUCUCGGCAACGGAUAUCUAGGCUCUCGCAUCGAUGAAGAACGUAGCGAAAUGCGAUACUUGGUGUGAAUUGCAGAAUCCCGUGAACCAUCGAGUCUUUGAACGCAAGUUGCGCCCGAGGCCAUCCGGUCGAGGGCACGCCUGCCUGGGCGUCACGCCUCCCGUCGCUCCCCACAACUCCAGUAAGUAGUGCGGAUGCGGAGAUUGGCCCACCGUGCCCCGUGCGCGGCGGGUCGAAGUACGGGCCGUCGCCGGGCCGUGCGCGGCGAAUGGUGGACGAAUACAUACAACAUCGUUGUUUGUCUGUUUGUUUGUGCCUACUCUCCGUGCCUCGGCCCUGAAUACAACGCGACGUGCCGUCGUCGGACCCCAUACCGCGGACUAAUUAAUCUAGCCCUCGGAACG